UUGGAGGGCAAGUCUGGUGCCAGCAGCCGCGGUAAUUCCAGCUCCAAUAGCGUAUAUUAAAGUUGUUGCAGUUAAAAAGCUCGUAGUUGAAUUUCGGGAUUAGUACGCUGGUCGUGCCUUCGGUACGUACUGGUGUUACUGAUUUCUACCUUCUGACGAACCAUCAUGUCAUUAAUUUGGUGUGGUGGGGAAUCAGGACUGUUACUUUGAAAAAAUUAGAGUGUUUAAAGCAGGCUCGCGCUUGAAUACAUUAGCAUGGAAUAAUGAAAUAGGACGUUGAUCCUAUUUUGUUGGUUUCUAGGAUUGACGUAAUGAUUAAUAGGGAUAGUUGGGGGCAUUAGUAUUCAAUUGUCAGAGGUGAAAUUCUUGGAUUUAUUGAAGACUAACUACUGCGAAAGCAUUUGCCAAGGAUGUUUUCAUUAAUCAAGAACGAAAGUUAGGGGAUCGAAGACGAUCAGAUACCGUCGUAGUCUUAACCAUAAACUAUGCCGACUAGGGAUCGGAUGAUGUUAUUUUUAACGACUCAUUCGGCGCCUUACGGGAAAC
rnacentral:rRNA from 1 species